AUUGUUGCAGUUAAAAGCUCGUAGUUGAAUUUCUGCUGCAUUGCUUGUGUCCCUCUGGGGUCUGUGCAUGUGGCUUUUUUCGGACGGAGUUUCUUUGUCUGAAUGUUUACUUUGAGAAAAUUAGAGUGCUCAAAGCAGGCUUUCGCCUUGAAUAGUUUAGCAUGGAAUAAUAAAGUAGGACUUUGGUUCUAUUUUGUUGGUUUUAGGUACCAAAGUAAUGGUUAAUAGGAACAGUUGGGGGCAUUCGUAUUUAACUGUCAGAGGUGAAAUUCUUAGAUU
rnacentral:rRNA from 1 species